rnacentral:rRNA from 1 species
CCUACGGGAGGCAGCAGUGAGGAAUAUUGGUCAAUGGACGGAAGUCUGAACCAGCCAAGUAGCGUGCAGGAUGACGGCCCUAUGGGUUGUAAACUGCUUUUAUGUGGGAAUAAAGUCAGGGACGUGUCCCUGUUUGCAUGUACCACAGGAAUAAGGACCGGCUAAUACCAUGCCAGCAGCCGCGGUAAU